rnacentral:lncRNA from 1 species
GUGCCAUCGAAGAGUGGUGGUCGAUUAAUGUUACCGCCUUCGGCCAUGACAAUAAUUUAUCUAGAUCCGGCUCUGAUACUAAUUGAAAGUUUAGGGGUACCCAAGUGUUACGUCUCGCUAUCGCCAAUUUGGUCGAUCCAGGCCCGUACACAGAGGCCGAACGAACAGAACCUCCUCUGUCCGCCCAAGACUCAACAACAACGAGUACAUGUAUAAAGAAAUAAACAAUUCCCAGGAUAACAUUUCAAUAUACAUGGCUUGCACGAGGGCAAGCAACAACCACAAGUGAUAGCAAGCGAAUUAAACAUGAAAUUCACUGUAAUUUAAAACUUUCAAACUAAACUGUAUAACCGAAAUAUUUAGUUAUUUACAUACUUUAUAAUACAUUCAUUUACAUGUCUCUGUACAUCAAAAUGUCUCACAUGAUCUCAAAAUGGUAAACUACUAUACUCUGGUGUCAGCUAGCUAAGCUGCGGGGCUCUUGCCACGAUCCUCGGCCACACCGCUCGCACUGGAACCUGUAUGGUUAGUGGUAUGAGAACUACUGAAAGUUCCCAGUGGGUUCGACCGCCGAAUUCGCCGACUCACCCACUAGGUCUACUCAGGCAUAUGUAGGCAAGAAAGUAAACAGAUAGUAACCAACUAUAACAUGUAACUACUACAAUGCCUGUACAAAGCUGAAAGAACAAUAUAUAAAACUGUAAAUAUGCAUGCAUGCUUUACUGAAUUUACCCAGUCCAUUAGUUAACCCUUUGGUUAACAACAACUCACUGACACUAUCCCAAAUAUUGGGGAGACGCAACCUGCACCCGACGGGACUGUCAACUGGGGGAGACGCACCUCCUGGUCCAGUAAAGAUGACUACUCCGGAGCUCAUCGUUCAAGGAGGAGCGACCUACCUUGAACCAAACGACUGUGAGUAUGAUCUGAUCCUCCUUUAGGGGAUUCAACAAUAGACGAUGUCACACUUAACUCUAGCUAGCUCUUUAUGCUAGUUUCACAAUUCCAUUUCUCGAUGCUAAUCCAAUCUCUAAUUAGAAUGUCACCAAGUUUACUAUUGUUAUAGUCCAUGCAUUCAUAGGGUUCUAUGUUCACAUUCUAUUGUUCAUAUAUUCUCAUGGUUGAUAAGCAUUUGCAUAAUCAAAUAUCAUUUACAUAAUAUCAAUACCCUAUAAUGCAUGAUUACAAUGUAAAUAUGCUCAAUGAAUUAGCAUAGACAUAAAAGGUGAUUCAAAGAUUUCGGAUAGCACCACCCACCUGAAGUGGUGUCAAUCAACUAAGAUCAAUGUCUCGGAAUGCGUCGACAACUAUCUCUCGCGACUCAAAGCAAAUAGCACUAGAACGGCCUCUACCGUAAUUAGCGUGUCGCCGACCUGUCGGAAUGUCACUUUAGACUUUCGAGCAUAUUUAACUUUCAUUUGUAAAGAUUUAAAAGAGGUUAAACUAGAGUUACAUUCACAUUUUAACAAAACUUGCAUUUCAACUUCAAUCUGCUUAUGUGUCAAGGUACAUGUAAAUCAGCAUACAUGUAUACAUGUAAUUGCUAAUACUCCGGCC